GGUCUCACACCCUUCAAUGGGUACACAGCUGCGACGUGGACUCGGACUGCAGUCUCCUCAGUGGGUAUGAACAUACCCUAUCACGGCGCCAGUUACCUCGUCCGAAACCAGGAACUGCGCUCUUGGACUGCAGCGGACAAGGCGGCUCAGAUGCCCUGGCGGAGGAACAGGCAGAGCUGCUCAAAACCUACCUGCAGGGAAGGUGGGCGGAGUGGCUCAGCAAAGUCCUUAAGAAUGGGAAGGAGAGGCUGCAGUGCCCAGAACCCCAAAGACUCACAUGACCCACCACCCCAUCUCUGACCAUGAGGCCACCCUGAGGUGCUGGGCUCUGGGCUUCUACCCUGUGGAGAUCACACUGACCCAGUAGUGGGAUGGACAGGACCAAAUGUAGGAUGCAGAGGUUGUGGAGACCACACCUGCAGGGUACAGAACCUUCCAGAAGUGGGCAGCUGUGGUGGUGUCUUCUGGAGAGGAGCAGAGAUACACAUGCCAUGUGCAGCACGAUGGGCUGCCAGAGCCCCUCACCCUGAGAUGGCUGUCUUCCCAGCCCACCAGCCCCAUCAUGGGCAUCGUUACUGUCCUGGUUGUUCUUGGUGCUGUUUUCACCAGAGCUGUGGUCACUGCUGUGAUGUGAAGAAUAAGAGCCCAGGGUGGAUUCCCAGCCCCAGAUGGGAGUUGGCUUGUAUCCUGCCUAGUCAUGAGGCACCAUCUCUGUCUAUCAACACUUACUCUUUUGUAAAGAACUUGUGAAAAUGAAGGACAAAUUUAUCACCUUCAUUGGAGUCAUGGGAACCUGACUCCCAGCAGUCACAGGUCAGGGGAAGGUACCCGCAGAGGACAGACCUCACUAGGACAAUUAGUCCAGUUUCAACACAUCCUCUUACCUAGGGUUUCCUGAUUCUGACCUGGGUCUGCAGUCACAGUUCUGGACACUCCUCUGGGAUCUCAUGACCCUGCUUCCUCCCUGGCCUUUCACAGUUUAUUUUCUUUCCACAGAGGACAGUACCCAGGGCUCUGAUGUGUCUCUCAAGGCUUGUAAAAUG
rnacentral:lncRNA from 1 species